GAUUGAACGCUGGCGGCAGACCUACCACAUGCAAGUCGAGCGGAUGAAGGGAGCUUGCUCCUGGAUUCAGCGGCGGACGGGUGAGUAAUGCCUAGGAAUCUGCCUGGUAGUGGGGGAUAACGUCCGGAAACGGGCGCUAAUACCGCAUACGUCCUGAGGGAGAAAGUGGGGGAUCUUCGGACCUCACGCUAUCAGAUGAGCCUAGGUCGGAUUAGCUAGUUGGUGGGGUAAAGGCCUACCAAGGCGACGAUCCGUAACUGGUCUGAGAGGAUGAUCAGUCACACUGGAACUGAGACACGGUCCAGACUCCUACGGGAGGCAGCAGUGGGGAAUAUUGGACAAUGGGCGAAAGCCUGAUCCAGCCAUGCCGCGUGUGUGAAGAAGGUCUUCGGAUUGUAAAGCACUUUAAGUUGGGAGGAAGGGCAGUAAGUUAAUACCUUGCUGUUUUGACGUUACCAACAGAAUAAGCACCGGCUAACUUCGUG
rnacentral:rRNA from 1 species